CGUUCAGGGGUAAACCUGCGAAACUCGAAUGAACGAACGGGGAGAUUCAUCGUCAUCCGGCGGGCGGCUUCGUUGAUGCGCGAUGCGCGACCCUCAGGCGAUCUCGGUCGUCUGUGCGAGUUGCGCACGCGCUCGGCGUCAGCAUCACGUUCGCCGGCGGCGUGCACUUCUCCCUUAGUACUGCAUCGCGACCCGCUCGAUGUCGGUCUAAGCACCGUUAGGGAGCCCGCGGUUCGCCGCGGACCUCGACGGAUGCCGGCCGGCUGUCGGGCGGUAGUUGACAUGAAACGCGCACGCGCUUGUCGCGUCCGGCCCGACGCAAGGUCGUUGUCCGGCCGCCGUGACGCCUUAAAUUGUGCGAACGGUGUGCCGGCGGCGCCUGUCUAUCGCCGCCGUGUCGUCUCGGACGUGCGCGUAUCGAGUCUGCGAUGUUUUUGUUUCGGGCACUCGCAGGACCCGUCUUGAAACACGGACCAAGGAGUCUAGCAUGUGUGCGAGUCACUAGGUUAUAAAUAAACCGAAAGGCGUAACGAAAGUGAAGGCGCGCGCUUGUCGCGCGCUCGGGGAGGAUGACGGUUCGCUCACGAGGCUGCCGCCCGCACUCCCGAGGCGUCCCGUUCGCAAUUUGUCGAUGUGGGCGCGCUCAGAGCACAAAUGCUGGGACCCGAAAGAUGGUGAACUAUGCCUGGUCAGGUCGAAGUCAGGGGAAACCCUGAUGGAGGACCGUAGCGAUUCUGACGUGCAAAUCGAUCGUCGGAACUGGGUAUAGGGGCGAAAGACUAAUCGAACCAUC
rnacentral:rRNA from 1 species